rnacentral:rRNA from 1 species
CUACGGGAUGCAGCAGCUGAGGAAAUUUUACAAUGCUCGCAAGAGUGAUAAAAUAAACCAGAGUGUUUCUUUCAAAGAAACUUUUAUCUGUUGUAAAAAGACAGAUGAAUAAGGACUGGGCAAGACCGGUGCCGGCCGCCGCGGUAAUACCGGCGGUCCAAGUUGCAUCCAUAUUUAUUGGGUCUAAAACAUUCGUAGCUUGUUUUGUAAGUCUCUUGUGAAACCUCAUAUCUCAAGUAUGAGGCGUGCGAGAGAUACUGCAUUACUAGAGACCGGAAGACGCAAAGAGUACAAUUGAGGUAGCGGUAAAAUGUGUUAAUCUUAAUUGGACUAACAACGGCGAAGGCACUUUGCGAGUACGGAUCUGACAGUGAGGGAUGAAGGCUAGGGGCGCAAAAGGGAUUAGAUACCCCCGUAGUC